CUCAGGAUGGGUGGCGAUACGGUGCCCCUGGGUUCCCCGGCACCCGCGGUGGCCAGUGUUGGCGCCGCCUCGGUUGAUGCUGGUCUCGAAGGAGGGGUCUCGGACAUAGCGCGGGGUGCUACUUACAUGUGCUGGUCUGGCCCUCUGGGCUUGCACUUGAAGCAGGAAACGAAGGAAAAAAUUUGGAAAGGGGAAUUUGUGGAGAUAUUUUCUCUCCUACCACUGG